ensembl:snRNA U6 U6 spliceosomal RNA
GUACUCACUUCAGCAGCACAUAUAAUAAAACUGGGAGGAUACAGAGAAGAUAAACAUGGCCCUGCACAAGACUGACAUGAAAAUUCAUGAAACGUUCCAUAAUUUU